rnacentral:lncRNA from 1 species
AUGAGUGGAAUCAAGGAUGAGGAUGGAGAGCUCGCUCCUGAAAUCCAGCUGUUUUCCUCCCUUCCCUUUUGCAAAGGUGAUCCAGGUGUGUUGUGCAGCCUCACCACUGCCUUGGCUUCUGGACCAACACCGUCUGCCUUGAGGAGUAUCCUCCUUAAGCCUCCAUCCUGCCGGAGAUGGCAGAGGAGGUCUGCAGGGAUGGGGAGAUCCCACCGUGUUAAUCCUCGUUUUGGAGAGGUUUUGAGUUGUUCCAGCAUUGGGGCAGUGUUUGGGGCUUCAGCAGCUCUCGCUGCUGGGAGAGAAGGGUCCUAUUGAGUGAGUCUCUAUUGGGUUGGGAAUGGAGCAGCUCAACCCUGGUUCGUGUUUCUCAGCACAUCUCGUCGCUCUGCUCCUGCCCAGCAGCAUUCCCAUUGGCACCGGGAGCUGCCAGGAAGCCCUUUCCCAGUGGAUGAAGACCGAGUGGAGCAGAACCCAACCCAGGUGGUUUUGUGGGCGCUGGUCUCUGUCUUUUGUGCUCCCAGAUUGAUUUUAACAUGUUCUUGCUCCUAUUUGGCCUCCUGGUGAAGGAAGGGUCUGGCUGCCCCCAGCUGCUCCCACCGACAGCGAGAGGAGGCACGUGCUGGCCCAUCACUGCUAUUCCUGGUGUCCCUACCUGGAUCACUUGGUGGCCCUGGGUCCUCAGGACACCGGCUCUUGGUAGGAGAGAAGCAGGAUCAGCCUUGGGAUGUUCAGGUACCACAGGGAUGGGGAGCGUGGGGGGUGUCUGAGCUGGGGACAGGUCAGCAGCUGGACAUGGCAUGGGAAGCAGCGCAACUUCCAGGUAAAGCAAUUCCAGAUGUUUCCAUCUCCCCCUUGGGUUAUGCACCUUGUCUGGGGAAUGCUGCUGGUGGCUCCUGUCCCUGUGCCGGAGACAGGCUUGUCCAGGGAAAGCUCUGGCUUUUCCCAGACCAUAGAAUCCCAGAGUGCUUUGGGAUGAAGGGAUCUUAAAGCUCAUCCAGUUCCAACCCCCUGUGUCCAACCUGGUCUUCAACACGUCCCCACUCGCUUUGGUGCCAUCAGCAAACUUCACCAGGGAACACUUGAUCCCAUCACCCAGAUCCAUAUGAAGACAUUGAACAGUGUUGGGCCCAAUAUGGAUCCCUGGGGACCCCAACGGGUGAUGACAGGUCCCCAGUGAGAGGAGGAGCUGUUCAGCACCACCUCAGGGUGCUGCUGGUCAGUCAAUUCCCCCACCACCAUCUCAUGGACCACUCGUCGAGGCCAUGACACAUCCAUUUCUCUUGGAGGAGGCUGUGGGAAACUAUAUGGAAAGCCUUGGAGAAAUCCAGGUGGACAAUGUCCACCCCACAUCAACUGAGCGGGUUGCUUGGUCAUAGAAGGAGAUGGACGCCCUCCUUCCAUCCCUCCCUCCCUCCAUCCCUGUGCCCUCACAUGUUCCCAGCCACACAUAGGGAAGAGCUGUUGCUCCACUGGGAUCAGGGCUGGGGCCACCUUGCGAAGGGUCUUCUGGUCCUUAGGGGCAGGUUUAGGUGAUGGUGGAAAAUAGAUGGGAAGUGGGACCGUGGAGGUGUCGUGGUGAGUGUGAUGCUUUUGAGCCAUCUUAAGGCUUAAAAUGGACCUGCAGGGACCAUCACACACCGGUUCCUUCCCAGACGGAGCCGGCUCAUCCCACAGGGACUGGAUUUGGGAUUGGGAGGGAAGGAGCCGCUCUUCCAGCGCAGGAUCAUGGUUCUCCAGCACGAGCGGGGUUUGUCCCUUGUGCCUCAUUCCAGGGCCCUGGAGCCACCUCAGAGUGGGAUCUGGUUUGGCAAAGCCGAGGGUGUUUUUGGGGCUCGUCCCUCCCCUGGAGCUGCUCCCGAUGGACAGGGAGGGAGGAGAAGGGACACGGGAGGUGGUGACACCCUCAUAGCUCCA